GACGAACGCUGGCGGCGUGCUUAACACAUGCAAGUCGAACGAUGAAGCUCCUUCGGGAAUGGAUUAGUGGCGAACGGGUGAGGAACACGUGAGAAACCUGCCUUUCAUUUUGGGAUAACUCCGGGAAACCGGGGCUAACACCGAAUACUCCGUCUCGGCGGCAUCGCUGAGCCGGGAAAAAAUUUUGAUGAAAGAUGGUCUCGCGGCCUAUCAGCUAGUUGGUGAGGUAAUGGCUCACCAAGGCAACGACGGGUAGCCGGCCUGAGAGGGCGACCGGCCACACUGGGACUGAGACACGGCCCAGACUCCUACGGGAGGCAGCAGUGGGGAAUAUUGGGCAAUGGGCGCAAGCCUGACCCAGCGACGCCGCGCGAGGGAUGAAGGCCUUCGGGUUGUAAACCUCUUUCAGUAGGGAAGAAGCGAAAGUGACGGUACCUAAAGAAGAAGCACCGGCUAACUAUGUGCCAGCCGCCGCGGUAA
rnacentral:rRNA from 1 species